GAAAAUUAGGUUACGACAUUAUACAUAAUUUGCAAUUAUCAUGUCAUAAUUGUUUCGUCGAAUCUUUGCACGCAUCCUAUCUUCAUCGUUGUUGCAUCUUCACCAUCCUCCUUGCCUUCAACAUUUCCUUCCCCAGAUCCCAACUUUGUUACCAUUUCUUUGGGUAAUCCUCACGAGAAAAUUGGUGUUUUCAAAUGUCAUCUGUUCAAACAUUCAAAAUUAUUCUCAAAAUUAGCCCAGAUGACAUCUUUUCAAACACACAAAAUCACUCAUACAAUAAGAAUUUAAUCUCAAAACCCAACAAUUUGUGUUCUGACUUGACAUAUUUGUCUUUAUCAUACUUGAAAUCUUCGUUUUAAUAUUUUAGAUCUUUGAUAUCUUUAGGAAUUCUUGAUCUUUGAUCAAUGCCACUUGCUCAACAACUGGCUUAUUCCACAAUGACCUCUCCAUCCGAAGGGUUAGGAAGUUGAUUGUUACAACAUCAGAAAAAUUAAUUUGCAGCCAUGGCUGUGGGCUACAGCAAACCCAAUUUCCUUUCACAGAGCUGAUGGCAAACUUCGAAAGUUCAGGAAAUGAAGAUGAAGAUUUGGUUCUAAUUUAAGGUGGCUGGGUAGACUGGUUGCGGAGGUAGAAAAGAAAAGUCGGGCUGAAGUGGCGGUGAAGAUGGAGAGGAAGUGUCCAACAGUCCAAGUUUGUUAAAGAAUUUUUAUUUUUGGGACUUUUCUGUUCUUAUUCUGUUAAAUUUCGGCUAACGGAAUUGCAAAUUGGGUGAAUAUUGCCAUACCAGAAGUGAGAUCUUACACCAAAAUUCAACAAUCAAGAAAAGAGAAUGUCAAAAUAAUUUAAUUUAUAUUGUAAAAUUUGGAGUUUUUUCUUAUUAAAUUUCUAAAAGUCACAUGAAAA